UACGGAGGAUGCAAGCGUUAUCCGGAAUGAUUGGGCGUAAAGCGUCCGCAGGUGGCAAUGUAAGUCUGCUGUCAAAGCGUCUGGCUCAACCAGAUACAGGCAGUGGAAACUACAUAGCUAGAGUAAGGUAGGGGAGAAUGGAAUUCCAGGUGUGAGCGGUGAAAUGCGUAGAUAUCUGGAGGAAUACCGGUGGCGAAGGCGGCAUCCUGGACCGGCAUUGACGCUGAGGAGCGAAAGCUAGGGGAGCAAACGGG
rnacentral:rRNA from 1 species